rnacentral:lncRNA from 13 species
CUACUCUGGCACUUGGGUGGAAAUGAAGAGUUCUAAAUCCCACAUUGGGAAUGCCUCAUCUCUGGCUCCCCUGGAAGCUAACUUUCAUAACUUGUGGAGCCCAAAACAAAGCCAAAUGAAUUUUGGAAAGCUGCCUUCACCAGUGAGCACAAAGCCACAUUUCAAAAGAAACUGACAAAUUAUACCCAGCUGCCAGAAGGAGAAAUCCUCACUGGACGGCUUCCUGUUUCCUGUGGUUCA